rnacentral:misc_RNA from 1 species
AAGUCGUAACAAGGUAACCGUAGGUGAACCUGCGGUUGGAUCAUUACUGAAUAAAAGGUAUUGCCCUCUCGGGGGUGAUUGCCGACUCAAAUUAUGUGCACCUGUAUUGUAAUUGGCAGCGGAGGGCGUAAGAACCCUUUCUUAUUCGGUAUGAGUGAGAAACGCUGCCAAAGGAGUCGGUGAGGAAUGGGGGAUAGUCGGAAGGGGUUUCGGCCUCGAUAAAGACAGUCCCCUGGUCCCUUGCUAGCUUCAUGAAAUUGGCAUUGUGGCAAAACAUUAUAAGGCUUAAUUAAUAAUCAAUGCAACUUUUGAUGCAUCGAUGGAUGGAAAAUGAGAAAACAACUUUUGACAACGGAUCUCUUGGCUCUC